rnacentral:rRNA from 1 species
UUAAGUUAUUAAGGGCGCACGGUGGAUGCCUUGGCACUAGAAGCCGAUGAAGGACGUUACUAACGACGAUAUGCUUUGGGGAGCUGUAAGUAAGCUUUGAUCCAGAGAUUUCCGAAUGGGGAAACCCAGCAUGAGUUAUGUCAUGUUAUCGAUAUGUGAAUACAUAGCAUAUCAGAAGGCACACCCGGAGAACUGAAACAUCUUAGUACCCGGAGGAAGAGAAAGAAAAUUCGAUUCCCUUAGUAGCGGCGAGCGAAACGGGAAGAGCCCAAACCAACAAGCUUGCUUGUUGGGGUUGUAGGACACUCUAUACGGAGUUACAAAGGACGACAUUAGACGAAUCAUCUGGAAAGAUGAAUCAAAGAAGGUAAUAAUCCUGUAGUCGAAAAUGUUGUCUCUCUUGAGUGGAUCCUGAGUACGACGGAGCACGUGAAAUUCCGUCGGAAUCUGGGAGGACCAUCUCCUAAGGCUAAAUACUCUCUAGUGACCGAUAGUGAACCAGUACCGUGAGGGAAAGGUGAAAAGCACCCCGGAAGGGGAGUGAAAUAGAACCUGAAACCGUGUGCUUACAAGUAGUCAGAGCCCGUUAAUGGGUGAUGGCGUGCCUUUUGUAGAAUGAACCGGCGAGUUACGAUUUGAUGCAAGGUUAAGCAGUAAAUGUGGAGCCGUAGCGAAAGCGAGUCUGAAUAGGGCGUUUAGUAUUUGGUCGUAGACCCGAAACCAGGUGAUCUACCCUUGGUCAGGUUGAAGUUCAGGUAACACUGAAUGGAGGACCGAACCGACUUACGUUGAAAAGUGAGCGGAUGAACUGAGGGUAGCGGAGAAAUUCCAAUCGAACCUGGAGAUAGCUGGUUCUCUCCGAAAUAGCUUUAGGGCUAGCCUCAAGUGAUGAUUAUUGGAGGUAGAGCACUGUUUGGACGAGGGGCCCCUCUCGGGUUACCGAAUUCAGACAAACUCCGAAUGCCAAUUAAUUUAACUUGGGAGUCAGAACAUGGGUGAUAAGGUCCGUGUUCGAAAGGGAAACAGCCCAGACCACCAGCUAAGGUCCCAAAAUAUAUGUUAAGUGGAAAAGGAUGUGGCGUUGCCCAGACAACUAGGAUGUUGGCUUAGAAGCAGCCAUCAUUUAAAGAGUGCGUAAUAGCUCACUAGUCGAGUGACACUGCGCCGAAAAUGUACCGGGGCUAAACAUAUUACCGAAGCUGUGGAUUGUCCUUUGGACAAUGGUAGGAGAGCGUUCUAAGGGCGUUGAAGCAUGAUCGUAAGGACAUGUGGAGCGCUUAGAAGUGAGAAUGCCGGUGUGAGUAGCGAAAGACGGGUGAGAAUCCCGUCCACCGAUUGACUAAGGUUUCCAGAGGAAGGCUCGUCCGCUCUGGGUUAGUCGGGUCCUAAGCUGAGGCCGACAGGCGUAGGCGAUGGAUAACAGGUUGAUAUUCCUGUACCACCUAUAAUCGUUUUAAUCGAUGGGGGGACGCAGUAGGAUAGGCGAAGCGUGCGAUUGGAUUGCACGUCUAAGCAGUAAGGCUGAGUAUUAGGCAAAUCCGGUACUCGUUAAGGCUGAGCUGUGAUGGGGAGAAGACAUUGNGUCUUCGAGUCGUUGAUUUCACACUGCCGAGAAAAGCCUCUAGAUAGAAAAUAGGUGCCCGUACCGCAAACCGACACAGGUAGUCAAGAUGAGAAUUCUAAGGUGAGCGAGCGAACUCUCGUUAAGGAACUCGGCAAAAUGACCCCGUAACUUCGGGAGAAGGGGUGCUCUUUAGGGUUAACGCCCAGAAGAGCCGCAGUGAAUAGGCCCAAGCGACUGUUUAUCAAAAACACAGGUCUCUGCUAAACCGUAAGGUGAUGUAUAGGGGCUGACGCCUGCCCGGUGCUGGAAGGUUAAGAGGAGUGGUUAGCUUCUGCGAAGCUACGAAUCGAAGCCCCAGUAAACGGCGGCCGUAACUAUAACGGUCCUAAGGUAGCGAAAUUCCUUGUCGGGUAAGUUCCGACCCGCACGAAAGGCGUAACGAUUUGGGCACUGUCUCAACGAGAGACUCGGUGAAAUCAUAGUACCUGUGAAGAUGCAGGUUACCCGCGACAGGACGGAAAGACCCCGUGGAGCUUUACUGUAGCCUGAUAUUGAAAUUCGGCACAGCUUGUACAGGAUAGGUAGGAGCCUUUGAAACGUGAGCGCUAGCUUACGUGGAGGCGCUGGUGGGAUACUACCCUAGCUGUGUUGGCUUUCUAACCCGCACCACUUAUCGUGGUGGGAGACAGUGUCAGGCGGGCAGUUUGACUGGGGCGGUCGCCUCCUAAAAGGUAACGGAGGCGCUCAAAGGUUCCCUCAGAAUGGUUGGAAAUCAUUCAUAGAGUGUAAAGGCAUAAGGGAGCUUGACUGCGAGACCUACAAGUCGAGCAGGGUCGAAAGACGGACUUAGUGAUCCGGUGGUUCCGCAUGGAAGGGCCAUCGCUCAACGGAUAAAAGCUACCCCGGGGAUAACAGGCUUAUCUCCCCCAAGAGUUCACAUCGACGGGGAGGUUUGGCACCUCGAUGUCGGCUCAUCGCAUCCUGGGGCUGUAGUCGGUCCCAAGGGUUGGGCUGUUCGCCCAUUAAAGCGGUACGCGAGCUGGGUUCAGAACGUCGUGAGACAGUUCGGUCCCUAUCCGUCGUGGGCGUAGGAAAUUUGAGAGGAGCUGUCCUUAGUACGAGAGGACCGGGAUGGACAUACCUCUGGUGUACCAGUUGUCGUGCCAACGGCAUAGCUGGGUAGCUAUGUNNNNNNNNNNNNNNNNNNNNNNNNNNNNNNNNNNNNNNNNNNNNNNNNNNNNNNNNNNNUUACAUUCAUAUGUCUGGUGACUAUAGCAAGGAGGUCACACCUGUUCCCAUGCCGAACACAGAAGUUAAGCUCCUUAGCGUCGAUGGUAGUCGAACUUACGUUCCGCUAGAGUAGAACGUUGCCAGGCAGUUUUAAAUCGGAGAAUUAGCUCA